AAUUGCAUGUCUAUAUAUGUAUAGUUAUAUAAGUAAUGUUUAAAGGACUUAGGAAGACUAGCUCGCUUUACCUCCUUUUCCUCAUUGGCAUGUGGCUUUAGGGCAUCGGUUAUCCGUCCGAAGGUCGUCUAAAUAUUAGUUGUAUAUUAUGUAUACAUAUAUAGACAUAAAAGUUCUAUCAGUUAAUUCAAUACCCUUGGGUAGUAGGGGUAUACGUUCAUGUUCAUACGUACCAGUUAUAUUACUAGUAAGCUACAAUAGGCGUAGUUUUGGAAGUUACUAAUACUAUUACUAGAACGCGGAAUCAUACCACGAGUCAGUUCAUUCAUGAGUCUAUACAUGCUAGAUAGAGAGAGAACACACAUUACAGCUAGCACAAGCAAAACAUUACAGUACAUUACUAUACAUUCUAGAUAGAGAGAGAACACACAUUACAGCUAGCACACAUAAAACAUUACAGUACAUUACUAUACAUGCUAGAUAGAGAGAGAAAAAACUUUACCGCUAGCACAUUCAUCACAUAUACAUUCAUGCAGUUGUGUGAGCCAUUGAACGGGUCCUGGCACUUCCUUCCAUGACCGUUUUUGUAUCCAGAUUCUCCUUAAUUGGGGAGCGUAUGAGUUUGCGUAUAGAUCUAUACGGGAUUGACUAUCCUACACCUUGUUGCUCGCUACAGUGGGACUUGCAAGUCUAUGGGUGCCAAAUGUCAUUUCUUACGGCAUCUUACAUCGUUGUUUUACUAAAGUCGGUAGCAGGAUACAGGUCGAUCACAUGUUACUUUAAAUUACAAUAGAUUUAUGGUAGUUAGUACGGUUGUAGUUAUUUGAUACUACAUCAUAGUACUAUUUCAUUUCCCCAUUACAUUCACUUCAUGAACAUUCACACGAUGCACGGUAAUGUAGAAACUAUAUUUUUGGUUAAUGAUAGUCAGAUUUGGGAAAAUACACCCUUUUACAUGGGAAACAGUCAAAUACUUGAUGCCUUGGUAGAAGGCUACUUUCAGUACGAAGCAUAGGGUUUUCUAGGAUAUUCAAAACUUUUACAUACUCAUACUUACAAUUACAUUCUUACAAAUACAGACACUAAAAUACUUAUGAUCUCACCAGCUUUAAAGCUGAAACUCUCUUUCAAAAUAACUUGUAUCGUCAGGUUAAUAGUAGAUAGGUACCGAUGCAAGGUUUAGAGAAGAUGGAGCUCGUUCAAGACUCAUCUUUCAUUUUGAUUUAAACUUUAGUGUCUAUUACACAUACCAGAUCACUUGUAUUAAAAUUAUAUUAUUAAUGCAAUGGAUGAUGUUGUUGCUUGUUUACUACUAUUCAUUGUUUUGAUACUGUACAUGACGUCCGCUGCCCCAGAACGUUUCCGCCGUUCAUGGUUUUGGGGUGUGACAGAUUGGUAUCAGACCAUCGUUUAUAGUGAAUUAAGUAUAUCAACCCAUAAAAAAUAUACAUGCUAUAAGUACAAUGGGAUUAAAAUACUCCAACCAAGAGUUUAUACUUUAAAUUUUUAAGUAUACGUGCCUGCAUUCAUACUAAAAUCAGUGUCACUAGGACAAUACAAAAGAAUUACGAUUGUUGGGCAGCACAAGUGGGAAGAUAUAGGCUUAUCUAGCAUGUGCCUAAGUGUAAUUGUGAGGUUGCAACAAGUCUAAAAUCUUACCAACAAUACCACAUGAGAACAAUAGAACAUAAACCUAAAAUACUAUAGGGGUAUUUGGUGUUACUAUAAGUACUUUAUACUUGAGAACUAAAAAGGAUCUUCAUUACUAAGUUGAUAUUUGCUAAGUGGAUACACUAAGGAUAUAAUUAAACUAGGAUGUUAUAGACUUAAAAUCUGUGGAAAUUUUGCUUUACCCCUAUUCCUUGUGAAUUUGGAGUUAAGGUCACUUAUUCGAAGGCUUAUCCUGUUUUGAUUACAUAUAACUGGUAUGCACUACACAAAUAGUGAUGUAACUAAUGAAGAUUUUCUAAAUAAUUAUCUAGAUAGUUCGUCUAAUAAUUACUUUCUUACCCCAAUUCUCGUGUAGAUAACAUGGCUGGACUCCAUCCCCACGACAAUCCGUACCUUCUGAACGAAGUCAUUGCUCGAUGGUUUGGAGAAGAACCAGGGAAUGAUCAUCCUAUCCCUUUGAAUGAUAACCAUGAUGAAGACCUUUUGAAUGGUGCUGACUCCGAACCCGAGGUUGAGAACCUACCCCAGGCAGCUCCCUUUCCAAAUCCUAACCCUCGUCUGGCUUUUCAUGGCCCAACGCCUCCUUGGGUAGAAUGCUUGGAGACAUGGAGCCAAGGAUAGGAUCAGCUCAAGCCAUUUAAUGGAGACUGAAGCUUUUAUGACCUGAGCGAAGGCGGCUCAACAGAUAGAGUCUUGCUAAUCUUGGUAUGCAGAGUGCCCCAGAAUGAGAUUCAAGGCAGGACAGCCCUACACCAGAUCUCAGAAGUUGUCGCCAAUGCGAGAAUGCAUACCCUCCGCACCAUUCGCCUGGAAGAUGCUCUUGAGAGAUCUGAAAGAGACCAUGAAGCCCUUCUUCAAGCACUGGCUGAAUCACGAGUCGAAGUCAUGGAACUCCAUGUAUGCCAGAGGGUGUACGAAAGACGCCUACUUGAUAUGGAACAUCAACUGGCUGAGCUGAGAGUUCACUAGAGGGAUGAUUGUCGCCAAUAGUAGAUGCCUUACUUUAUUUUCCUUGUUAAAAGGAAUCGUUUUUUCUAUCUAUGCCCGAUGUGGCAUAUUCUAUGAAACUACCUUGUACUGUAAGUACUUUUAGUUAGGUCUUUAUGUUGUCAAGGACUUUCUACUCUGGAUAUGAUGUAAGACCUUCUAGAAGGUCAUUUUCCCGAACUUUUAUGUCAUGAAUAUCAAAGAUAUUGACAUUCGGCUAACUUCUGUGUCAUUCUUUAUUCAAAUACUUUCAUCAUGCUAUCAUGGGAGUCUAUUUGAAACCCACUCUAGUUGAGUUAUUGAACUAGGGUAUUCUAGCUCAGGGAUAAUUCCCAAUUCUUCUUUAAGGGUUGGAUCAUGUUAUUUACCAACCAAUGGUACCCUGAUUUAGACGUCAAGCGUCAUAAGACCACACUACGAACUUACUUCUAUUCUAUUGUAGGACAGCAUCAUAAGGAUGUAGAUCAAACCUUCACGAACAUACUUCCAAUCCGUACUAGGACUGCAUCAUAGGGAUGUAGGUCAAACUUUCGAGAACAUACUCUUACUCUUUACUUGAACAAUCGAAGUACAUCUACGGUCGACCAAAAAUCUCUCACAAAAUCCUUAUCUUUCGUGUUAACAAAAUCAUGUUGUCAUCUGGAAACAGUUAGCCGAACGAUGAAACCCCUGCUUUUCAUAUGGACGCCGCUACUUUUCAAGCCGCAGUUACAGCUGCCGUGAUGGGUGUCGUGACAGUUAUCCUUGCAAAUCGUAGCGCUAUCAGCGCAAGCAAUGCUGACGAAGGGGUUGAAAAUCCAGAUCGUAAUAUCAAUCCGGGAAGUCAUCAAAUGAUAACAGUCGCAGGCUCGCAAAGCCGAAAAACAGAGAACAAGAAACGAAAGUGCCAAGCCCAGAAAAAACGCAAGUGAUCCCAAAAACUUGUCAUGCAACAACAAGUGGAAACCUCUGCCAUCCCAGUACCGAGUAGACCAUACGAGGGAAAACUCCCGAAGUGUUAUAAGUGUAGUUUUCAUCAUCAUGGGGCUUUCCAUGAAAUGCAAUGUUGCAAUUGCCUAAAAAUAGGGCACCAUGCUCGUAGCUGUGGAGCACCAGCACGACCCAUCACUCAAGCCCCUAACAUCAGAGUCAACCAGGCUUAUGAUGGUGGUGUUAAAACUAGUCCCUAUGAAAGGAAAGUUUCAAAGUGGAUGAAUAAGGAGAACACUAGUGUCCACGUAACUCUAACUCGACACAUCACUUCCACCACCAAUGUGGGUGCUAUCCAGACAUGUCACCAAUGCGGUGAAAUUGGGCACCUCAAGAAGGAUUGCCUGAUAGUGAAGAACUCUAUCACAGACGGGAAAAUACUAAGGAUCACUGCCGCAGGAGAGACUACUCGGGAUCCACGUUAAUGUAAUUAAGGCGUUUCGUUGUAACAGACUUAUAAACCAUCCAAAACUAGUGCAACUAGAGUCUUACCUUUUGCGAGAUUCCGUCAGUCAAGGGAUGCUCAUGCUGCGUAUACUUGUCUUUUAUAGUAUACCUUGUUCGCAACAAUAGUCUUGUAGUAGGUCUAAAGUAUUGUAACUCUGUUGAAGGUUGCACAGUUGUGUUUUGUCUGUAACGCCUUAUGUUCCAAUCUAAUGUCUUUAGUUCCCAUAUGAUUCCGACAUUAUCAUAUAAAUAGAUUCAAUUCUAUUCGCAAUACCAGUUCCGUAUGUACAUCUCUUUCUCCAAAAUCUCCUUUCCAGCGAAGCCGUCAUACCAGGUCACCAAAGUACUCAUGCAUGGAGUACCUCAUGUUUCUUAGCCUUUCUGAAGAAAUCCCCGAAGUACCACUCGUACAGUACGUGAAGUUCAAUCCAAAGAUCCAUACGGUUGAUCUAUCCCUGAAGAAUGUAUACAUAGGGGUGGUAUAUAAUCAAGGUUCUACAGGUUUAGAGUUGAUGAUUCCGCUUUAACUUCUUUUCCUCGUAGGGAUGUGAGCUUAAAGAAGAAUCAAUUAUUUGACUACCUUUUUAAUCUUAAUUACAUACGACUCGUAUACACGAGACUGCGAUUGAUGAACCAUGUAUGACUUCUAAUAUGAACUUCAGGAUGGAGACUGCCCAAGACUACGAGUAAUCGCAUCAUUAUGUGAACAAACUUAGAACCCAGUACGACUCCUGCAACCAGAUCGCCCUACAGUCUAAACACCCACAAAAAUACAAGAAAAAUCUGGACAACUUAGCGAACUACUCAACAAUAGAAUUGGAAGGCCAGGCUUCUCACCCUGGAGAGCUCCAGUCUUAUUCUUCCAGAAGUAGACGGAUUGCAUCAUAUGUACCUCGACUAUCAUGGACUUCGUCAAGAUUUCCAUUAGAAAUCUUUAUCUCUGCCUCGCAUAGAUGAAUUGGUUGAGAAAACGCAAGGAACGAAUUACCUUUCAGAAAUGGACCUGAGAUCCGAUUAUCACCAAUUUCGAGUGCUAGCAAAAGAUGUCCCGAAGACUACCUUCCAAACUCGACGCAGACACUUCGAGUCCAUAGUGAUACUCCUCGGAUAGGACUAAUAUGCCCAUAGUAUUCAUGAGCUUAACGAAUAGGGUACGCCAUUCUUACUUGGAUCAGUUCGUCAUUCUCUUUUUAAAUGACUUACUUAUCUACUCUUGUAGUAAGAAGGAAAUCAUAAAGAGCAUCUACAACAAGCGAUGGAAACAUUACCCUCAGAGAAACUCUUCGCGAAGUUCCCUAAACACGAGUUUUGGAAUUGAAGAGUCAAAUAUCUAAGACACACUAUUAGUGAUGUGGAAUUUCUUGAGUACUAUGUUAAUUUAUCAAAACCGUUGAGAAAUUUUCGGCAUUGAAGACACUUACGAAAUUCGCCAAAUUUUAGGUCUCAUCAGCUUACUGUCAGGAGUCCAUUUAGAACUCCUCGCGAAUUACAAAAACCCUUACGACUUUGACCCAGCAGGAGGUGGCCCUUGACUGGGAAGAUAAGCAAGAAAAAUAAACCUUGGAAUUCCAAGUGAGAGACCAAAUUCUUUAGGAAGUCUCACUCUGUGGAUGGCUUGAUACACUUCGGAAAGCGUGGAGACCUAAAGCCAAGAUAAUUAGGACCUCCGAGAUUCUUACCCGAAUCGGUCCUGUAUCUCACAAGCUAGACCUACUCCGCGAGCUUAGUAACGUACAUUCUACCCUUCACGUCUCGAACUUGUAAAAAGUAUCGAUUCGACGAGACUCUUGAAAUCCCACUUGAAGAGAUCGAGUCCCACAAGAGCCUCAUCUAUGUGGAAGAACUGUAGUGACCAUGGACCAAGAGGUCAUGCGGAUGAUUCAUAGUCGUUUCCCUUUAGUGAAGGUCCGCUGGGAUGCCAACCAAGGACCCAAAUUCACUUGGGAGCGCGAGAAUAAAUCAUGUAGGAAGUAUCCCACCUUCUUGGCUCGAUUAUUCAUGCCUACUUCCUUACCUAAAUUCUAAUUUCGGGACGAAAUUGCUUCUAACGGGGGGAUGAUGUGACAACCCAAAAUUUCUAUUCUGUACAACCCUUCAAUUCAAUAGAAGUCAGAAAAGUUGCUGCUAAGUUUCAAACUUUUUGGAACAAGUUUGAGUAUUUUAGGAUUUACACUUCGGGUGAUAUCAGGAGAGAGGAUGCCCUAGGGUUUAUUAUGCAACACUGUUAUUCCAAAACUCCAAGAAAUUAGAGUUUACUGCCUGAAUAAAAUAUUUACAGCCAAAAACCCUAAAUUUGGGAGUAUAUNUAUAUAUAUAUAUAUAUAUAUAUAUAUAUAUGACAAUUUGUCAUUAUUUACACUUUUUCUAAAUCUCAAGAUCCAAAUCCAAUUCUCUCUCAAGUAUCGUCCAAAAUGUUUUCAAGAUCUUCAAUCUAGUAAGUGUUUUUAUCCUUCUUAAGUUAUUAUAUGACUUAAUCUAGUGUUUUAACACACUUCUAACCGUGAAAUCAUUCCAAAAGGGCCAAUCUUGAAGUUUCACCAAGAAGACCAAGAACAUACACCAGUGUUCUUGGACUUUUAGCUCAUUUGAAGCUUCAAUAUAGUAAGUACUUCUAUCCUACAAUCUUAUAAAGCUUGUUACAUUCCCUUACAUCAAGAAAUCGUCCCAAGAACACCAAGAUCAAGGUGUUUACGCUCCAAGAAUGUUCUUGGACCGUAAACCCCAAAUAAAGGUGACAAAGUGUGCCUUAUCCUUUCAUAAGCCUUGGUUAUUAACCUAGAACCCUACCCUGAUGUGUUUAGCACAAAAAAACCACCAACAUAUCUCAUUUAUAUGUGUUUACAGUUUGGGGAUCUCCCAAAAUCAAAAACACCCCAAAACAUGUUAUAAAUGGCCAAUAUUCCUUCCUUAUGCCUAGAAUCUAGCCUAGACUUUUACCUUGAAGUGUUUAGGACUUGAAAACAUCAAAAUACCAUGGUCCAUAGGAGUUUACGGCAGCAAACACAUGGAGAAAUGGUCCAUGGACCGUAAACUCCAUUUAGAAGUGUAUUGAUGCCACAAACACUUCUUAAGGCUUAAACAUGAAGUAGGAAUGCUUGGAAUGACUUAGAAGACUUCAAAUCAACAAAUGGUCAAAAGGUUGUGAGCUUACGGUCGUAAACUCAAGGGUUUACGACCGUAAACUCAAUGGGUUAUGGUCUUUAGGGAGUAAACUCAUGAAAGGUGUUCUUUUGAACCCUAAGCUCAAUAGCUUUGUCCUACAACACUUAGAUGCAAUCCUUAGAACUUAUAACACUUAUAUAAAGUGUUUAACAUGUCUUAGGAUGUCUUAACUUUGUUAAUUGGUUGUUUAAAGGCUAAUUGGAUACAUAUAUAUACUACUAGAUGUUAACUAGGAUCCUUGUGUGUGUACAAGUCUUCACUUGGCACUUAGCAUCCUACGGCAGUCAAUACAUCCAAACCACCAACUACAGGUGAGUUCAUACCCCUUAAUCAAUGGUUUAAAUGUUUUUAAAUGCUUUUAUGGGGGGAUACAAGUUGAAUCAUGCUAGUUAUUAUAUCAAGCACAUGUGAUUAAUAAGUAGCAUACAAAAGGAUUUACUACUCUUUUAGCUGUUUUACCAAGCAGAUUACUUCAAAUGAUUUUACAAAACAUGUUUACUCGUUUAAAACUCUUUGUUAAACUAUCUUACAUACUGAAUGUUUCUUUUCAAACCCUAUUACAGUUGUGUUUCAAAACAAAGGUUUUCCUCAUACGUUAAACGGUUCUCAUCGAACAACUUGCUUUCAAAUUGUUUUACACACUAACAUCAAGUCAUCUUUUCCUAGUUAUAAAACUUUUCAAAGGUUUUACAAAACUUAUUUUAUACUUUUAUAUUGUCAAUUGCAUGUCUAUAUAUGUAUAGUUAUAUAAGUAAUGUUUAAAGGACUUAGGAAGACUAGCUCGCUUUACCUCCUUUUCCUCGUUGGGAUAUGGCUUUAGGGCGUCGGUUAUCCGUCCGAAGCUCGUCUAAAUAUUAGUUGUAUAUUAUGUAUACAUAUAUAGACAUAAAAGUUUUAUCAAGUAAUUCAAUACCCUUGGGUAGCAGGGGUAUACGUCCAUGUUCAUAC
rnacentral:lncRNA from 1 species